rnacentral:rRNA from 1 species
GACGAACGCUGGCGGCGUGCUUAACACAUGCAAGUCGAACGGAAAGGCCCUGCUUGCAGGGUACUCGAGUGGCGAACGGGUGAGUAACACGUGGGUGAUCUGCCCUGCACUUCGGGAUACGCCUGGGAAACUGGGUCUAAUACCGGAUAGGAGCCAUUUUUAGUGUGAUGGUUGGAAAGUUUUUUCGGUGUAGGAUGAGCUCGCGGCCUAUCAGCUUGUUGGUGGGGUAAUGGCCUACCAAGGCGGCGACGGGUAGCCGGCCUGAGAGGGUGGACGGCCACAUUGGGACUGAGAUACGGCCCAGACUCCUACGGGGGGCAGCAGGGGGGAAUAUUGCACAAUGGGCGCGAGCCUGAUGCAGCGACGCCGCGUGGGGGAUGACGGCCUUCGGGGUGUAAACUCCUUUCGCUAGGGACGAAGCUUUUGUGACGGUACCUAGAGAAGAAGCACCGGCUAACUACGUG